AACGUCCAAACCACGCUAAAUACAUUAGUUUUCCUUCGACUACGAAGUUAAGCAGCGUCGGACGUGGUCAGUACUUGGAUGGGUGAGUGCUUGGGAACACCGUGUGGUGU